UACAGAGGUCUCAAGCGUUGUUCGGAUUCAUUGGGCGUAAAGGGUGCGUAGGUGGCGGGGUAAGUCAGGUGUGAAAUCUCGAGGCCCAACCUCGAAACUGCACUUGAUACUGCCUUGCUCGAGUACUGGAGAGGAGAUUGGAAUUUACGGUGUAGCAGUGAAAUGCGUAGAUAUCGUAAGGAAGACCAGUGGCGAAGGCGAAUCUCUGGACAGUUACUGACACUGAGGCACGAAGGCCAGGGGAGCAAACGGG
rnacentral:rRNA from 1 species